CAGAAGUGGAGAAAGCCACAGCAGCAGUAAAGUCAUGAUGCCAGAAAUAGCCCAGAGCAAGAGCUAACAGUUCAGAAACCGAAGGAGCUAAUUGGGACACCAACUGGCACGCCUUUCUCUUUUCAUCCAGAAAGACAAGAAACCUACGUACGUGUCUGCAAAAUUAACAGAGUCCGUUCCAUCAAAGAAAACAGAACAUUUGACCUAAACAAAUCAUGGGCUAAGGGUGAUUUUCCUUUAGUGUUUUUAAUCAACUAUUCCGUCGUCCUUUGGCCCUGGAAAAUAUUUCACGCAAAUAAAACUGAAACCCCAAUUGCACAGA